UCCACUGUUGCGUUUUUCAUACGUACGUAUACGCACGUAAAACUUUAAAUUCGUUUAAAUGUUACUUAUGAAAUAACCCGAUAAAUAGAGCAACAGAAUUUAGUGUUCCGCAAGUUUUAGUAUGCAUUUGUUAACUCAUUCGUAAAAUAUUUAAAAAAUAGAAGAAUUCUAGAAUUAAUAGAAGAAAGUUUUACGUGCGUGUACGUGCGUACGAAAAACGCAACAGUGGA